GUGUGUGUGUGUGUGUGUGUGUGUGUCUUUUAUCUGCAGAUUCAAGGGUCUUGGGAUGGGCUAGUAUCAUGACCCCUCCCAGAGCUAUGCUGGGUGGAACAAAAGGGGAGCCAGGAGGGGCUGGUAGUAUAGCCACAGUGCUAGGCAAAGGCGGUAGCUUUUAAAACUACAUGCACCGUCUAUCAUAAUGGGGAGUGUGGCAGCAGUCAGGCAUGACACUGGAGCAGUAGCUGAGAGCUCACACUUGAUCCAUAGGUUGCAGGUAGAGAGUGUGAGACUGGGCCUGGCAUUGGCUUUUGAGACCUCAAAGCAGCCCCUCCCUCGCCCAUGGCCCAUCCUUUCAGCAAGGCUGUACCUCCUAAUCCUUCCCAAACAGUUCCAUUAACUGGGGACCAAGCAUUCAAACUUAUGAGCCCACAGGGGCCGUUCUCAUUCAAGCCACCACAGGGUAGGAAGCAGAAGUCCUGCCUACCCAACUGUGAUGCCUGUGAGCAAUACCAGUGACCAGCCCAGCAAGAUGUGGCAUGGCAAAGGUGCAGUAGGGGUAUUCAUAUCUCAGUGGGAGCCAGCUGUUGCCUAACUGGACUUAAAGCCACUCAACAGGAGGGAAGUCAUGCCUGGUACCAAAAAUCUAGCUAACUAACCAGAGAUAGUGAAGUCUUGGAUCUUAGAGAAAACCAGACUGCUGCUGCUAUACUAAUAAUUCUACAUACUCAUCCUUAUGUUCACAGUUAAAUGUAUCUGUCACCAUCACCAAAGAAGUUUCGCUUUGCAGCAGAGACCAUUACAGAAAGCCACAACUUGUCAAAAUGCAGAGAACACCUGAUUGACAGAGAACCAAGUACCCGUGCUGCUGAUUCAAACACUCAGGCAUGACUUAGAAACCAUUCCAACAACGGGGCUGCAAGAAGCCAGAGCUUCCUCUCCUUUAAACCUGGAAGCCAUGGGAGGCAACCCCAGUGUUGGAAACACAAAUCUACUCCUAGUCCAGAGGGCCUCUGUCUGGCAUCAGUCUGUGCCACACUGAGUGUUGGUGUUCUUGCUUUGACUGAAUCAGUUUUCAAAUAAUUCAGAUGGACCCAGGACACAGCCAUGGAAAUAAGGCCUUUGAAUUCAUCCUGAUGAAUGGAGGUGUAGGACGGCGAUUGGGUUUGGGUAAAGGCUCACAGAGACUUCAGCACACAGCAUGGCGCCCACAGUCUUGUGACAAAUACAGCCAACAGCACCUCUGGAUCCUCACACCAGGAACAGAACAGAGUUUUGCCAAUCAGCUGAACAAGCUGAAGUCAUCUACAUUGGAGUCUUAUCCAAUAUCAAAUGUUUCCAGUAACUACAAGGAGGCAGGCUUUCCUGUGCUUACCAGAAACAACCCGGGAACUGAGACACUAUGCAUAGCUCCCUGGAUCCCGUUUCCCAUCCUGAAGAUCUGAGAUCUCUAAAUGAGACUUAACAGUCUUCUCUCGGAUGAGAAGAGGGGCAUUUAGUCAUCAAGUGUCGUCAUUUAAUGCCUCAGAAGCAACAUGCCCCAGGGAUCCAGCCUCUGUGCAUGCAUAGAUUCUCAUCGCUCAACUGGCGAGUCCUCUUCCUGAUAGCAAUAGUUAAGCUAGGUUGUUUGCCUUCUUUCUUUUCUCUCACGUUGCCCUCUGAUAACAAUGGAAGCAGGUAGCAGAUGUGACUCUUUGCUUUGUAAGUGUGAUUGAUGAAACUUUUCCAGAGAGAGGCUGGCAAGGCUGGCCAUGGACCAACGUGAGCAGCCUAGAUCAUCAGACAAGAAUCAGACUUCAGAACCACAUUUUGCUUCAACAAAAUGCCCAUAAAACUGAGAAAAUCUCUGAAAAAUAAAAGCUGUGAUAACUGUUUGUACUCCCCAUAAAGGCAAGUCUAUAUGCUGAACUUUAUAUGUUUGUGUGUAUAAAUAAAUACACUUAGAACUAU